rnacentral:rRNA from 1 species
UACGUAGGGUGCAAGCGUUAAUCGGAAUUACUGGGCGUAAAGCGUGCGCAGGCGGUCUGUUAAGACCGAUGUGAAAUCCCCGGGCUUAACCUGGGAACUGCAUUGGUGACUGGCAGGCUUUGAGUGUGGCAGAGGGAGGUAGAAUUCCACGUGUAGCAGUGAAAUGCGUAGAGAUGUGGAGGAAUACCGAUGGCGAAGGCAGCCUCCUGGGCCAACACUGACGCUCAUGCACGAAAGCGUGGGGAGCAAACCGG